rnacentral:lncRNA from 1 species
CUUGUUUUAGCUUAUUUUGGAGAUAAAUUUUAAGAUGAGAGAAGAUCUAAUGACUUACUGCAAUAUGCAUUGCUAAUGGAACAGUGUCCUGAAUUACACUGUAAUUGCACACACACCACCCUCCUUAGACUCCACUUGUGAAAUUACAUUGGGUUUGUUGUUGUAUUAUACAUAUCCUAGCUAUUUAUUUGGGCAGACGACUAUUUAUAUUAAUUUCUACCAAGAUGACGAGUAAGACAUCUAUAAUGACAACAAACUAAAACGUUUCCACAAACAAUUAAAGGGACAUUCAUUCUCAGACAAAUUACAUUAGCUUAACAAAAGCAAUAUGCAUUGCCAGUAGAUGAAGGAUAAUAAUAUACUGUACUAAUGAUUAUUGGACUUAAAGGAGAAAUGGCAUACAUCUUAUAGUGUAUUUUAAAGUUAUGAUAAUCUAAAGAAAGUAGUUUUAUCUUUGCAAUUACUGAAGAGGAUUUAGACUACUCUCAAAGUGCACAAUGGCUUUGAGUAUCAGUUCCAACAACAUAUCUGUUGAGUAUCACUUAAUAAUGCUACCAAUAGGCAUCUCUAAUACUUUAAAUUUAAUGCCAGAUGACUUAUGCUCGAACAUAACAAAUCAAUGAAGUAAAUUUUUCUAGUGUCACCCAAUAAAUCAUUAACGACUUAUCAGUAAUGCCCCACACUCUAUUCCAUUAUAGGCUUCUUAAUUUACCCAACUUUAUUGUUUUACCACAAUCAUUUCCCCAUGACAUUAAAUCACCCUUUUCAUUUGCUCAACCAAGUACCACCUAAACAUGCUACCUUGACCACUUUUUAUGCUUUAAAUACUUGCAGAUUUGGAGAAAUAACACUCAUACGUUCUGAUUAUGAAACUAUUACAAAAAAAUCUUUGGUAAUGGCAAUGUAGAAAGUAAAUCUAAUUUCAUAAAUCAAAUUGUUAAAUUUGCAGGAGAAGUGGAGGAGCAUGUACACAGUACACAUCUCUCAUUAAAGGAACUACAUUAAAGUCUUCAGUAAGGGUUGUGCUUUUAAAAAGAACUGGAUUUCAAUGUUGUUGCUUAAAAGGUACUUGAGCAGCUUUGAUAUACUUAGAACUUGUUCUGUAGUGUUUGAUGUACUGAUCCACAGAUCAACUUGUCUCCAUCACGGAAGUUUCUUAAUUUUUAAAAGUUAUGUAGUACCAAUAUUAAGUGUUUAAAUCCUGUUGAAUAACAAAUCAAGAGAUGAAUUGAUUUACAAGUAUAUUCCCGCUGUUAACAGAAUGAAUUGGCGUAUCAUUUGCUAUGCUAGAUAAUUUUGAUAUCGGAUACAUGAAAAGUAGUAUGUUAGUUUUCAUCACUCGUAUUAAAUAUGGUGAAAGCUUUUAAUACAGUGUUUAACAUUCCUAUUUCCUAAUAUAGCCUAUCUACUAAGUGUUAUCCAAUCUAUCUUCUUAAUUGCCUUGUCUGAUUGCAGACUAUGCAAAUCAUUUCCCUAGUGCCAAGAACACAUCUUAAGUUGAAACUGCAGCAUCAAGUUCUUCAAAUACCAAUUUUUCCAAGUUAGGUUGAUGCUAAAAGGUAAAAAUUGUCUAAUCAUCUUGGAGCAGAUAAAAAAUCUGAAGUGAAUUGUUGUAAAGAAUCAACUGAUUAAUCAAAAACUCAGAUACAUGUUCAGUGAAUUGUUCAAAUGGAAACAAUGUGGCAUUAUUGAGAGCUCACUAGAACAAAAUAGGUAAUUGUAUGAUCAACAAGGAAUUCCAAGCAUGUCUACACAUGGUACAGAAUCAAGUAUUCUGUUCCAAAAAGCACAACGCUAUUGACAUUUUCAAGUGGUGACAUCUACUCUGUAAAUGAGUUCAUCAUGGUCUCCUUCAGGGCAGAUAAAUCCUAUGAGAAGGGGUGUACGAGCACCUGUUAACUUCAGAAAAAACUAUAUAUAUAUAUAUGAGUAUAUACCUUGAAGAAUUAUCAUGUACUUUAAAAGGACCCUUCAAACAUAUCUAGCUCAUUGGGGCAUCUGGUCGCCAUGCCCCUAGGUUGUUUUUUCUUUGCUUAGGCUAUCAUAUAAUUUUGAUGUUAUUAUUGUCCUUUUUCUGAAUGUGAUGUAAUGAUUUCUUUAUUAUAUCAUAUUAUAUGCUAUAUCUGCUUUACUUCUAUAUUGCUUUGGUAUAUGUUACAUAUAUCCAAUGAUUGUGUUAUCUUGCACACAAUCACAUAACUCCAUACAAACUAACAUAAAUAUCAUAAGUGAUAAUGAACACCAAAUUCACACCAUCAAUGCUAUCUACACCAGACUAGUCCACUUUAUUGGAAUUGCCCAUAUCUUAUCAAGCCGAACACCAACCUUUUCUUACUCCAAAUACAUGAAUCAACCACAUGAUCCUCAUUUCUAUGUAUCCAGUCCAUGACAGCCAAGUGCAGUCAAUAACUAAUGAGUAGUUGUAAUGCUUCCACCCUUCACUAAUAGCCUCUCUAACACCACCACCACCCACCACCACCCCGCGCAACUACUGUAACGGGAAUAUGGCAACAUUAAUGAGGUGCAUAAGUUAUACCCAACAGAAAUAUUGUCACUCAAGUACACUUUCUACCAUUACCAUUAACCACCAUGAGUCUCACCAACUCAUAUCAUACCCUAUCAAGCCAGACCCUUCAACUUUCAUACAAGGCUGCUAAACUCACUUUCUUGAUAUUAAGCCAUACCUUCAUCAUCUAAUACUUCACAAUUGUUAAUAUUCAUUUACAAAUACAGCCAAACCAAAACAUACAACAACAACAACAACAACAAACCCAGUGUAUUCCCACCUAGUGGAGUCUGGGGGGUAAGAUGUACGCAGUCCAUACCUCUACCUCUGAUGAAGUAGAAAGGCUGUUUCCGAUAGACCCCCGGCUCAAGACACGAGAUACCAUACAAACACAUACUAAAGCACAGAAGCAGAUUACAUAACAUAAAUACGGCACCCAUAAGUAAUAUAAAACAGAGGAAUAACAUAUAGAAAAAUAGAAAAAAGUAGUAGAGUCAAAGGGAUUUAGCAAAGCAAUUCUACCUAAAUGCACCAACUAAAGCUAAAUGUCUCAAAUUUUCAGCUUAAUUCUAAUCAUAACCAACUCAAACAAGGACGGAGCAAGGUAGGGCCAAGGAGUUGACCCCCGUGUUCCAAAAAAUACACUAUUUUUACAUGGUUAAACUUAAAAUCUCCCUAGUAAAAAUCUUGACUACAUAAAAAAUGAGGAAGGGAGAUAACAAGCCAAUACAAAAUGAACAAAAAAGUAAAAGCAUGACGACAGUAUCAAAUUAUUAGUAGAAGAAGACGACAAAUAGUUCGAGGAAUAUGAAACUUACGUUGUUUUUUUCAGUCAAUUUCAACUUAAACCAGACCAAUUUUCAAGUUUGCAUGUGGCUGAUGCUUUGGGUACUGUGGCGAAGGAAGAAAAAACUAUCCAAGAAAGGGAAUCCGUGUGUGAUUUUACAGCGAGAGAAAGGGAAAAUAAGAAUUAUCCCUUCUUUAACUCGUCAAUUUCCAAUCUUGAAACUCAAAAUCAAGAAUCUAGUUUCUGAAAAAAGGAUAUAAAGUUUUGAACUUUUGGGCAAUAAUUGAGAAGCAAAAAGAUCCAAUUUUUAGCAGAAGACAAAGAAAGCAACAAAAAUGGAUCAUAUGAAAGCAUCUAAAAACUGGUAAAACGGAUGAUAAAGAAAGCAACAAAAAUUUCAAGAAUUAAAAUAAAAUCUUACCAUAUGAAUCAAAGGGAUUAUUGAUCAUGACCCACACCAAGAAAUCAACUGAUCAAAUCAAGAAAAACACACAGAGUGAAUAGAUCGGAGGAAUCUAAUUCCAUUUUCUGUGAUGAUUUCGGGGGGUGGUUUUGAGGUCAAGCCAGCAAGUAAAAUCUGCAAUUUUACACCUAUCCCAGUAAUAAAUUGCCUCUAGUUGUUCUAAGAAUUGAUAAACAAAACCCUAGCUGUGCGAUUUCAAUUCCACACUAAAAUAUCACGGAUGAGAAUAAACCCUAUACAACAUUUCAGAUGAAUGAUAUUAUGUUUUACGACUUUUUUUUAAUUAGAAAUUAGAGGGAACAGAAUAUAUUGGAGGUAACAUAAUAUUUUUAUAUUAAAAUUAUUGGAGGGAAUACCAUAUUUUUAUGUAAAUUUUUUAAAAUUUAUAAGAACACUUAUAAAUUAUUGUUUUAAAAUAAUAAAAAUAGACACAUUCUAAAAUUGUAAC